ensembl:miRNA
GGGCAGUCGUUGCUACUGUAAACAUCCUUGACUGGAAGCUGUAAGGUGCUAGAAGGGAGCUUUCAGUCGGAUGUUUACAGCGGCAGGCUGCCACAG